rnacentral:tRNA from 1 species
AAUAAAGUGCCUGAUAAAAGGGUUAAAUUGUAAAUUUAAUUAUAAGUUAGAUUAAACUUCUUUAUUA